rnacentral:misc_RNA from 1 species
UGUGGGAGCGAGCUUGCUCGCGAUAGCGGUAGAUCAGUCACCAUCAAUGUUGAAUGUGACGACGCCAUCGCGAGCAAGCUCGCUCCCACA